rnacentral:rRNA from 1 species
UCAACUUAAGAGUUUGAUUAUGGCUCAGAACGAACGCUUGCUGCAUGCUUUAUACAUGCAAGUCGAACGGAGGCCCUAGCUUGCUAGGUGUCCUUAGUGGCGCACGGGUGAGUAACACGUGGGAACAUACCUCAUAGUACGGAAUAACUGCGGGAAACUGUAGCUAAUACCGUAUAUUCCAGUAAUGGGAAAGAUUUAUCGCUAUAAGAUUGGCCCGCGCAAGAUUAGCUUGUUGGUGAGGUAAAAGCUCACCAAGGCUUCGAUCUUUAGCUGGUUUGAGAGGAUGAUCAGCCACACUGGGACUGAGACACGGCCCAGACUCCUACGGGAGGCAGCAGUAGGGAAUAUUGGACAAUGGGGGCAACCCUGAUCCAGCAAUGCAGCGUGAGUGACGAAGGCCUUAGGGUUGUAAAACUCUUUCAUCGGUGAGGAUAAUGACAGUAGCCGAAGAAGAAGGACCGGCUAAUUCCGUGCCAGCAGCCGCGGUAAUACGGAAGGUCCUAGCGUUGUUCGGAAUUACUGGGCGUAAAGCGCAUGUAGGCGGAACAGAAAGUUAGAAGUGAAAUCCCUGGGCUCAACCUAGGAAUUGCUUUUAAAACUUCUGUUCUGGAAUUCAGGAGAGGAAAAUGGAAUAUCCAGUGUAGAGGUGAAAUUCGUAGAUAUUGGAUGGAACACCAGUGGCGAAGGCGAUUUUCUGGACUGAUAUUGACGCUGAGAUGCGAAGGCAUGGGUAGCAAACGGGAUUAGAUACCCCGGUAGUCCAUGCAGUAAACGAUGGGUGCUAGUCGUCGGACUUUUGUUCGGUGUCGUAGCUAACGCGUUAAGCACCCCGCCUGGGGAGUACGGUCGCAAGAUUAAAACUCAAAUAAAUUGACGGGGACCCGCACAAGCAGUGGAGCAUGUGGUUUAAUUCGACGCAACGCGAAGAACCUUACCAGCGUUUGACAUGGGAA